rnacentral:rRNA from 1 species
UACGGAGGGUGCGAGCGUUGUCCGGAAUCACUGGGCGUAAAGGGCGCGUAGGCGGCGUCGGUAGUCCGUGGUGAAAGCUCGUGGCUCAACUGCGAGUCGGCCAUGGAUACUCCGAUGCUUGAGCACUGUAGAGGCAGGUGGAAUUCCGGGUGUAGCGGUGGAAUGCGUAGAGAUCCGGAAGAACACCGGUGGCGAAGGCGGGUCUCUGGGCCGAUACUGACGCUGAGGAGCGAAAGCGUGGGGAGCGAACAGG